UAAAAAAAACUGUUAAAUCCAGAGAUAUAAUCAUCAAAUCAAUCCAAAAUUAUAAAAAAUAUAUAAUUGGUUUUCUUAAAUUGGUUUUUUGUUUGAAAGAGCCAAACUCCUGUUUGGCAAGAACUCAUGCAAUCAGAAUCUCCAUCGAGGCUAGGCAAACACUUAAGACUGGGACUUUGAGAUCAAGGGAUAUUUUCCUGAUAAAGAUUGUAGGAUUGUUGACUCAAGAAGCAACACAAUGGCACAGAUAGGGGUGAAGAAGGAGUUGAUGGCAAGCAAGGAUCUCUACCAUGUUGGGGUGACACCAGACAUGGAUCACGCUUUUGUUAUAGGGGUCAUUACCAUUCUUGAUUACAUAUAUGGUGAAUCCACUAGGUGCUAGUAAUUCAUAUAUUCAGGAGAAGCUGUACUAACCGGGGAGGUAUCUUCGCAAUCUGACGAUUUGAAGUUGAAAAAAGGACCUAAAACCCAAAAAACCAAGCUGCUGUUUUGCCCAGAAAUUUGAAGCUUUUCGUCACCAAAAUUUUUUAGCGACGGAUGUUCAUAGAUUUUUCGUGGCUAAACAUUUUCUGCGACAGUGUUCUUCAAAUUUUUCGUCACCAAAAGUCAAAUUUCCAGAUCAACUUCAGACAUAUAUAUAUAUAUAUGCCUUGGGCUCUGGCCAAUUGAGACAGAUGUUCCAAAUUUCCUAUUUUUUUGUAUUUCCCUGAUCCUGGUUAUAUAUCUAUUAUAUAAUUUUGGAUUGA